rnacentral:rRNA from 1 species
UACGGGGGGAGCAAACGUUGUUCGGAAUCACUGGGCGUAAAGGGCGUGUAGGCGGCUGGAUAAGUGGGAUGUUAAAUCCCCCGGCUCAACCGGGGACCUGCAUCUCAUACUGUUCAGCUCGAGCACAUCAGAGGAGACUGGAAUUCCCGGUGUAGCGGUGAAAUGCGUAGAUAUCAGGAGGAACACCAAUGGCGAAGGCAGCUCGCUGGGACGUGACUGACGCUGAGACGCGAAAGCGUGGGGAGCAAACAGG